UACGUAGGGGGGCAAGCGUUGUCCGGAUUUAUUGGGCGUAAAGAGCGUGUAGGCGGCCAUACAGGUCAGCUGUGGAAAACUCGAGGCUCAACCUCGAGACGUCGGUUGAAACCGUAUGGCUAGAGUCCGGAAGAGGAGAGUGGAAUUCCCGGUGUAGCGGUGAAAUGCGCAGAUAUCGGGAAGAACACCCGUGGCGAAGGCGGCUCUCUGGGACGGUACUGACGCUGAGACGCGAAAGCGUGGGGAGCGAACAGG
rnacentral:rRNA from 1 species